rnacentral:rRNA from 1 species
UGGGGAAUUUUGCACAAUGGGGGAAACCCUGAUGCAGCGACGCCGCGUGAUUUAGAAGGCCUUCGGGUUGUAAAAAUCUUUUGUAUGGGAAGAAAAUGACAGUACCAUACGAAUAAGGACCGGCUAAUUACGUGCCAGCAGCCGCGGUAAUACGUAAGGUCCGAGCGUUGUCCGGAAUCAUUGGGCGUAAAGGGUACGUAGGCGGAUAAGCAAGUUAGAAGUGAAAUCCUAUAGCUCAACUAUAGUAAGCUUUUAAAACUGCUCAUCUUGAGGUAUGGAAGGGAAAGUGGAAUUCCUAGUGUAGCGGUGAAAUGCGCAGAUAUUAGGAGGAAUACCGGUGGCGAAGGAGACUUUCUGGCCAUAAACUGACGCUGAGGUACGAAAGCGUGGGUAGCAAACAGG